rnacentral:misc_RNA from 1 species
UUCGUCUGUGUGAGGGUCGGCUAGUGUCAAAACAAUCGCGUCGCUUGCUCUUGCGACGCGCUCUGGACCUUCGCGGCCGUAAAAUCCGGCGCUCACCGAAUCGCUCGCUCGGCGGUUUGCGUGUUGCGCCCGGUGGCCCCGUGGUCUUAAGCACAAGCCGCGCCGUUGUCCGUGUUCGUCUCGGGACGUCCGCGACGCCGCCUUGCUCUCGGCGGCGGCCAAAUUUCCUCUCCGUCACCGCUAUGCGGGACCCGGCUCGCUCUCGCUAACGGGCCCGCUUAUAACCAGCUUCAGGGUGACGGGCGGAGGAGAGAAGCUUACGCUGACGCUCGAUCGACGAGUCGGCGCCCGUACGAAAAAAAUUGGAAAAAAAAUAACCGUGCGUUGCGCGUUAUUUUUUUUUUUCCUUUCUUUCCGACCUCAGAUCGGACGAGAUUACCCCCUGAAUUUAAGCAUAGAAA